CAGUCGCCGCGGUAAUACGUAGGGUGCGAGCGUUAAUCGGAAUUACUGGGCGUAAAGCGUGCGCAGGCGGUUUUGUAAGACAGGCGUGAAAUCCCCGGGCUCAACCUGGGAAUGGCGCUUGUGACUGCAAAGCUAGAGUGCGGCAGAGGGGGAUGGAAUUCCGCGUGUAGCAGUGAAAUGCGUAGAUAUGCGGAGGAACACCGAUGGCGAAGGCAAUCCCCUGGGCCUGCACUGACGCUCAUGCACGAAAGCGUGGGGAGCAAACAGGAUUAGAUACCCCUGUAGUCCCUGUCUCUUAUAC
rnacentral:rRNA from 1 species